rnacentral:lncRNA from 1 species
UUUAUGGUUUUGGCGCCCAUACCGGACGGGGUAUGGGGACGGCCCGUUUCACGCUCAUACCGGACGGGGUGUUGAGGUUUAUGGUUUUGGCGCCCAUACCGGACGGGGUAUGGGGACGGCCCUGGAAACUGAUUAUGAAUGUUAAAGGUUAACGGGUAGCGGGACCCCUAUGGACCCCCACGGAUACUAGUAGGCUGGUAAAUGAGAAAAAGAUAUGUUGUAUAAUGAUUGAAUUACAAGAGGCGUGAUAAGUGUUAUGUUUUACAGCUUGUAUUAUUUCAUGAUUAUGAUAAUGUUAUUGUUUUUCUUAUAUUGUUUCAUAAAUUCCACCGAGGUAAGUGGAUGGUAAAGGUUUUAUCAUAAAUAAAAGGAUUUGUUGUAAAACAUGCUCCAUGGGUCCUUUGUGUUUUCUACCCACCUUUACCUCCGUGACGGUGAGAUAUCGUGAUGUUCUUACUGGGCUAGUGUAGCUCACUCCUU